UACGGAGGAUGCGAGCGUUAUCCGGAUUUAUUGGGUUUAAAGGGUGCGCAGGCGGCACGGCAAGCCGGCGGUCAAAUCGCGGGGCUCAACCCCGCCCAGCCGUCGGAACUGCCGGGCUAGAGUGGGCGAGAAGUGGGCGGAAUGCGUGGUGUAGCGGUGAAAUGCAUAGAUAUCACGCAGAACUCCGAUUGCGAAGGCAGCGCACCGGCGCCCUACUGACGCUCAGGCACGAAAGCGUGGGUAUCGAACAGG
rnacentral:rRNA from 1 species